AUGGGCAACCUGGACCUGGUUUAGGUUUGCAGGUAACCUGCUUCAGUUUUCCAGACAUGCGGCUUAUGCUUUCACAGCAGGAGCCAUUGCUCUUCUGGUCAUUAAUGCUUUCCUCAUGCUGAUUGCUGCCUACAGGAACCUGGUCUUGCUGUUUCUAACAACCGUCAUGGAGGUUGUUCUGGUGUGUUUGCUGCUGUCCACUCUGCAGCGACU